rnacentral:sRNA from 1 species
AUCGCUUCUCGGCCUUUUGGCUAAGAUCAAGUGUAAAAGCAUGCCAUAAAUCACCAUCACUAUAAAAGCAAAUGCAAUUCUAUAACUUUCUGUGUUCAUUGGUUGUCAUUUCUCAUGUAAAGGACAGCACCUGCACAUCAUGCUAUCUUUAGGUGGCAGCC